GGAGCUGCAGUUCAGCAGAAGAACAUCUGCUUUGCAUGCAGAAGGCUCUGGGUUCAAUCUCUGCCAUCUCCA